rnacentral:rRNA from 1 species
GAUGAACGCUGGCGGCGUGCCUAAAACAUGCAAGUCGAGCGGUAAGGCCUCUUCGGAGGUACACGAGCGGCGGACGGGUGAGUAACACGUGGGAAUCUACCCCAAACUGAGGGAUAAGCACCGGAAACGGUGUCUAAUACCGCAUAUGGUCUUCGGAUUAAAGCUUCGGCGGUUUGGGAAGAGCCCGCGCAAGAUUAGCUAGUUGGUGAGGUAAAGGCUUACCAAGGCGACGAUCUUUAGCUGGUUUGAGAGGAUGAUCAGCCACACUGGAACUGAGACACGGUCCAGACUCCUACGGGAGGCAGCAGUUAGGAAUUUUCCACAAUGGGCGCAAGCCUGAUGGAGCAACGCCGCGUGCAGGAUGAAGGUUUUCGGAUUGUAAACUGCUUUUAUGUGCGAAGAAUAUGACGGUAACACAUGAAUAAGGAUCGGCUAACUCCGUGCCAGCAGCCGCCGUAA